GCCGGCAGUUAGCUCUCUGCAACUCUCACAUGGUCGCCCAGUGAAGCUAAGCAGGGCUGCGCCCGGUCAGUACCUGGAUGGGAGACAUGGGAAAGCUAGGUUGCUGCUGGUG
rfam:Danio rerio chromosome 9, GRCz11 reference primary assembly.